rnacentral:rRNA from 1 species
AUUGAACGCUGGCGGCAGGCCUAACACAUGCAAGUCGAGCGGAACGGAGGACGGGGGAGUAAGGCCUAGAAAUCUGCCUGGGAGUGGGGGAUAACGUCCGGAAAGGGACGCUAAUAACGCAGACUAGCAGAUGAGCCAAGCCCGAAUUGGUUAGUUGGUGGGGUAAAGGCUCACCAAGGCGACGAUCCGUAACUGGGCUGAGAGGAGGAUCAGUCACACUGGGACUGAGACACGGUCCAGACUCCUACGGGAGGCAGCAGUGGGGAAUAUUGGACAAUGGGCGAAAGCCUGAUCCAGCCAUGCCGCGUGUGUGAAGAAGGUCUUCGGAUUGUAAAGCACUUUAAGUUGGGAGGCGUUACCAACAGAAUAAGCACCGGCUAACUUCGUGCCAGCAGCCGCGGUAAUAC